UGGGGAAUUUUGGACAAUGGACGAAAGCCUGAUCCAGCAAUGCCGCGUGAGUGAAGAAGGCCUUCGGGUUGUAAAGCUCUUUUGUCAGGGAAGAAACGGUGAAAGCUAAUAUCUUUUGCUAAUAACAGUACCUGAAGAAUAAGCACCGGCUAACUACGUGCCAGCAGCCGCGGUAAUACGUAGGGGACGAGCGUUGUCCGGAAUUACUGGGCGUAAAGGGCGCGCAGGCUGUGCUGCAAGUCAGCUGUGAAAUAUCUGGGCUUAACCCGGUUAUGCGGUUGAGACUGCAGUGCUGGAGUGCUGUAGAGGCAAGCGGAAUUCCCAGUGUAGCGGUGAAAUGCGUAGAUAUUGGGAAGAACACCGGUGGCGAAGGCGGCUUGCUGGGCAGCAACUGACGCU
rnacentral:rRNA from 1 species